AGCAGCCGCGGUAAUUCCAGCUCCAAUAGCGUAUAUUAAAGUUGUUGCAGUUAAAAAGCUCGUAGUUGAAUUUCGGGAUCAGCGCGUCGGUCGUGCCUCCGGUAUGCACUGGCGCCGCUGGUUUCUCCCUUCUGAGGAACCGUGAUGUCAUUAAUUUGGUGUUGCGGGAAAUCAGGACUGUUACUUUGAAAAAAUUAGAGUGUUUAAAGCGGGCACGCGCUUGAAUACAUUAGCAUGGAAUAACGAAAUAGGACGUUCGAUCUUAUUUUGUUGGUUUCUAGGAUUGACGUAAUGAUUAAUAGGGAUAGUUGGGGGCAUUAGUAUUCAAUUGUCAGAGGUGAAAUUCUUGGAUUUAU
rnacentral:rRNA from 1 species